GACGUAGGGGCCAGCGUUGUUCGGAAUUACUGGGUGUAAAGGGUUCGUAGGCGGUGUGGCAAGUCGGGAGUGAAAUCUCUGGGCUCAACUCAGAGACUGCUUCCGAAACUGCUGUGCUGGAGUGUGGGAGAGGCGCGUGGAAUUGCAGGUGUAGCGGUGAAAUGCGUAGAUAUCGGAAGGAACACCAGUGGCGAAAGCGGCUUCCGUGGUCCAGCACCGACGUCAGGCACGAAAGCGUGGGGAGCAAAC
rnacentral:rRNA from 1 species